UACGUAGGGGGCAAGCGUUAUCCGGAUUUACUGGGUGUAAAGGGAGCGUAGACGGCAGGGCAAGUCUGGAGUGAAAGGCAGGGGCCCAACCCCUGGACUGCUCUGGAAACUGUCCGGCUGGAGUGCAGGAGAGGUAAGUGGAAUUCCUAGUGUAGCGGUGAAAUGCGUAGAUAUUAGGAGGAACACCAGUGGCGAAGGCGGCUUACUGGACUGUAACUGACGUUGAGACUCGAAAGCGUGGGGAGCAAACAGG
rnacentral:rRNA from 1 species